rnacentral:lncRNA from 1 species
UUUUUUUAUAUGUAGCUAUGGGAAGGAUUGUUGGAAUCGUUGAAAAAGAAAGAAUUUGAUUGGUUGAACGAGAUUAUAUAAAAAAAGGAAUAAAACACGUUGGUACAGUUUUUUAAACAACUUUUCCUCAGUAUUAUACUAAUCAUCACCAAAGCAACUUCUCCUUACUGCUCUCUCACGUGCAUUAUCAUCAUGCCGAAGAAAACGUGCCUUUUUUCAUGGGUUUCUAACAACGGAGGUACUGAUGUGUGGAAUUAUGAUUUCGAAAUUAAAACAAGUAAUCCGCCACUCCAAAACCUCCCAUCACAUCAACAACUUAAGUCUUCAAGAAACGCAAGAUUCAAGGAGACGAAGGAUAAUUAAACGGUUCAUCAUUCAAUUUGCACGUAACAAAGUUAUUUUUGUCGCUUAACAUCCCUUUUAAUGUUCUGAAUCAUCCCUAUUUCUCCCAAGUUUAUUGAAAAAUAUACUGGAAAAACUUAUCCAGGUCGAUGGGUCGUUAACAACUUGGUUGGGGACGUAUGUCAAGGAGUUUUGAAUAGAAUAAAAGAAGGUUG